rnacentral:lncRNA from 1 species
GACAAAUCCUUUACUCAGGCCUCACAUCUUAGAACACAUCAGAGAGUUCAUACCGGCGAGAGACCUUACAGAUGUAUAGAAUGUGAUAAAUCUUUUACUAGGUAUUCUCACCUUAGAGAACAUCAGAAAAUUCAUAGCGGAGAGAAACCUUACAAAUGCAGAGACUGUGACAUAUCGUUUAACCAGAUUUCAAAUCUCAGAAGACAUCAGAAACUUCAUACUAGAUGUACAAAGUGUGACAAAUCUUUUACUAGGUGCUCCUACCUUAGAGCACAUCAGAAAAUUCAUACUGGAGACAAACCUUACAAAUGUAUGGAAUAUGACGACUCCUAUGCCCAAGACUCACAUGUUAAAAGACAUCAGAGAGUUCAUACUGGAGAGUAACAUACCAUUGUAAAUAAUGUAACAUAGCAUUUAUCCAGUAUUUUCUCUACUUACAAAUUCUAACUAUAUUCAUAAAAGAAAAUUAAGAAUAAGCAACAUGGGAAAACCAUUAAUGAACUUUUAUAUUUUUUAAAAUAAUGCUAAAAUAAAAAUUUGCCUAUUGUGUCAAAA